rnacentral:lncRNA from 1 species
UUCUGUCAUGGUUUUGCUUUCUAAAUGUCUUUAAGCUGUCUUGUUGAUGGGGGUGCACCCUGACGAAUGGUGUGCUGGCAAAGAUUUAACAAAAGGCUCCAGAGGAGGGCAGACUUGAAGUGGAGCCUUCAGUGGGCAGUGUGAAGGGUGCUGAUUUCAAACAACUCAUCUGGUAUGACUGAACAUGAAGUUGGGAAGAGAUGUGCAUAAUUGAAGUGGGUGAGAGCCAGUCCAGCACCCUGCAGAGAGUGUGGAAGAUGAUCAAAGUAUGACAUUUCUUCUACCCCAGAGGCUGGCAUUUCUGCAGGCACAAAUGAGCUUGGUUUUCAAGCACUGCUCUUUGAACACAAGGAAUUCCUUUAAUGAUCACGCCGGACUAUAUAGACUUUGGAAUCAGACUCUUUGAAUUCCAGCUCUGCCAUUUACCAACUUUGACACUUUGGACAACGUCUCAUUCUGUCACCCAGGCUGGAGUGCAGUGGCACAAUUAUAGCUCACUGCAGCCUCAAACACCUGGGCUCAAGCAAUCCUUCCACCUCUGCCUCCUGAGUAAUUGGGACUACAGGCAUGUGCCACCACACCCAGCUAAUUUUUAAUUUUUAAUUUUUUUGUAGAGAUGGCGGUCUUGCUAUGUCACCCAGGCUGGUCUUGAACACCUGGCCUCAAGUGAUCCUCCGGCCUUGGUCUCUCAAAGCUCUGGGAUUACAGACAUGAGCCACUGCACCCGGCUCUAUCUCCCCUUCCUAUGUGUGUUAGCUCUAGAACAAGAGAAGCCUUGUUGAGAUUCCUGGCUGCCCACCCCCCAUCACCUCUCUGACUUUGGGCAAGUUGCCUGGCCUCUCUCAGCCUUUAUUUUCUUUUUGUGAAAUGGGGAUAAUAAUAGUACUUGCCUCAUAGGCAAAAUGUUGUGAGAACUAAACGAGAAAAUGCAUGUAAAGCACUUGGCACUUAGUUCUUUUUAUGAUUAUAAUGAUAAUCAGACACAAUAAAUUAUGUCUCACAUCA